rnacentral:lncRNA from 1 species
UAGAAAUUUGAAAUUUAAAAAUUAUACUUUUAAUUCAAAUUUAAAUUUUUAAUUUAAAUUUUUAUUUUAAAUUAUUUUAAAAUAAAAUUUAGUAAAAAUAUUAAUAUAUACAGGCAUCAAAAUUUUUUUGCCAAUCAGCUUUCGAAAAUCACUUUAGAAAAAUCACUUUUAUCUAAACUCAGCCAAACGCUCUAUAGCUUUACACAAAAAUCAAUUCUCCAAAUCAAAGUUACUUCUGCACAGAUCAUUUUUCUAGAAUCUAGGCCAAACAUGCCCAAAACUUGGCUACAUAGUU